CAGCAGCCGCCGCGGUAAUACGGAGGGUGCAAGCGUUAAUCGGAAUUACUGGGCGUAAAGCGCUCGCAGGCGGUCUGUUAAGUCAGAUGUGAAAUCCCCGGGCUUAACCUGGGAACUGCAUUUGAAACUGGCAGGCUUGAGUCUUGUAGAGGGGGGUAGAAUUCCAGGUGUAGCGGUGAAAUGCGUAGAGAUCUGGAGGAAUACCGGUGGCGAAGGCGGCCCCCUGGACAAAGACUGACGCUCAGGUGCGAAAGCGUGGGGAGCAAACAGGAUUAGAUACCCCAGUAGUCCCUGUCUCUUAUAA
rnacentral:rRNA from 1 species